rnacentral:lncRNA from 1 species
AGGUGAAUAAAAUCUUGUUUUAAGGCUGAACAAGCAGGUUAACCUUAUCAAGGAUGAUCUUGAAUUCCAGUGGCCACAGUGGAGAACUUUUAACCUAGACAAGCUUAUCCAUUUACAGGUGCCCUAGAGAAAAAGGGAUCUCACUAUAAAGGGUAGAGGGAAAUUAUUUUUCCUUAUUGACAACUUCUUGUGACCAGUAUGAGACCCACUAAGACACCCUGUUUGCUCCAGAGCGUGCAGAUGGGAUCCUGGGAAAACUGGCAGAAGCUGGCAAAAGGGUCAGCUAUUGCCUUCUUGUUUGCCUUGCUUUGUGUCCUGAGAACUUGGCUUGGGUUUCUGCCUGAUUGAGGCAUGCAGGUUCUUGCGUGUGCAGGCAGCUCAAAUGUCAGGUUGGGGGUCCCAAAAAUACAGCCGGACAGAAAUGUGGAGGUGGAGGCCAAGAGAGGAAUCAAGGAGAAGAAUUAGAAGGCCUCCAGCAGAAUCUAAACCAAAAACUCCUCCAACAAGGGUAAACCUGACCAACUAGUCAUUAAAUCCCUGGUGGCCUGUGACUUUCCUUGGCCAAUAGAAUGUGGUCUCAAGAAGCAUUACUUGCUUCCACUCUCUUCCCUGGAACACUGCCAAGCCUCCAAAUGAACAUUUCCAACCUAGCCUGUCAGAAGAUGGAAGAUACUUGGCCUGGUUACUCACAUUGCCACAGCCAACAGCUAGUCAAACACCAGGCAUGUGUGCAAUGCCAGAUUAGAUAGUCAGCUCAGGCAACCUUACAACUGAUCUCAGACACAUAAGAAAGCCUGAGAUCAACCAAGCCUGGCCUAGAUGGGCAGACCCAUAGACUCAUCAGUGAUAUUAAUGAUUGUUUUAAGGCUUGGAAAAUUUGAGCCCAUAGAUUGUCCCCUUGCUUUUGUAAAUAAAGUUUUAUUAGAACACUGCCACACCCAUUUGUUUAUGUAUUGUCUGCAGCUGCUUUCAUGCUACAACAGUAGCAUCAACCAAUGGCAAUAGAGACCUUAAUGACCUACAAAGCCAAAAAUAUCAUCUGGCCAUUUAUAGAAAAGGUUUGCUGACCCCUAUUUUAAGCCACUACAUUUUGAGGUGGAUUGUUAACCAAGAACAUGUGAAUAUAUCCUUUUGGCAAAAUAUUUCCAGAAAUGUUUGCUUUCAUUAAAUACAGUAUCCUAUUGUAUUGUUAUUUCUAAUUUAUAAUAAUUUCUAGACCUUCUAAGUUUUACAACUACUUGUUAAACAAAUAUUUAAUUAUUGAGUAUCCAAUAUAAGCCAUCACUCCACUAGGUGCUAGCGAUAUAG